CGACCUCAGAUCAGACGAGAUCACCCGCCGAAUUUAAGCAUAUUAGUAAGCGGAGGAAAAGAAACUAACCAGGAUUCCCCGAGUAGCGGCGAGCGAAAAGGGAAGAGCCCAGCGCCGAAUCCCACGUCCCGUCGGUCGGACGUCGGGAAAUGUGGCGUGAGGGAGCGCUUCGAAACUCACACAGAUUCGCGUCCGGAGCUCGCUCGCGAGUCCAAGUCCAUCUUGAAAGAGGCCACAGCCCGGAGAGGGUGCCAGGCCCGUAGAGGCGGCGGCGAGUUCGGACGGGAAGCGUCUCCUCAGAGUCGGGUUGCUUGGUAGUGCAGCCCAAAGCAGGUGGUAUACUCCAUCUAAGGCUAAACACGGCCACGAGACCGAUAGCGAACAAGUACCGUGAGGGAAAGUUGAAAAGGACUUUGAAGAGAGAGUUCAACAGUACGUGAAACCGUUCGGGGGUAAGCGCGUGAAACUCGAAGAGUCGCACGCGGGAGAUUCAGUAUUCGCGGCGCCGGGACGGAGGAGCGCUCAAACGAGGCGCAGACGCGGACGCGGGCUCGCUCUCGAGUCCGACGUCGGCCGAGCGUUUUCCCCUGCAAGUGUCUCGUCCCGCCGCGGGUCCGCACUUCUCCCCGCGUUAAAAGACCGUCGCGACCGGCCGGCCACAGACCGGGAUCGAGGGCGUUCGCGGACAGACUCCGGGAAAGGUUGCGGCGUUCGAUCGAUCGUCGCGCGUUUCGGCGCGCGGCGAUCGUCGAUCGCGCUCCACGCGCCUCUCCAUCGGAGACGCGAACGAGGCCCGAUCCCGGGCCGGCCGUAUGAAACGGAAUCAGACGAUCGCUCGCGUCGGUCGCCCGCGAGGGCGCCGAGCGCGUCCGUCGGCGGUUCCCGUCCGGGGAAUCCGCGCCUCGCUUCGUUCGCGCGGAGCGAGAGCGCGCGCGUUGUCCGGACGCGCGGCCGCCGUUCUCGGACCGAGAAUCCAGCGACGUCGGUCGAGCGGCGCAAAUGGUUUCGGGCAUUCACGCGACCCGUCUUGAAACACGGACCAAGGAGUCUAACAUGUGCGCGAGUCGUCGGGUUUCGUUUGAGAGACCCGCAGGCGAAGCGAAAGCGAAGGGGAGUCUCGUCCUCGACUCGGACUCGCGCUUUUCGAAAGCGCGAGUUCGAGCUCCCCGCGAGACGAUGCCGUCCGUCGCUCGCGAGCCGGAAAUCGAAAAGGCGCGAGCGGCGAAAAAAAGACAAGAACCAAGCAGACGAGAGCGACGAAUAGCCGGAAAGAGAAAAUUCGCCGGGCUCGCGAGAGCUCGGCGACCGGCCGGCCGCAGUCUCGGGGCGUCUCUGGCGUCUCGCGCGGAUUUUUCGUCCGCGCGCGACCGAGGCGCACCGCGAGCGCACACGUUGGGACCCGAGAGAUGAUGAACUAUACCUGGUCAGGACGAAGUCAGGGGAAACCCUGAUGGAGGUCCGUCGAGAUUCUGACGUGCAAAUCGAUCUCUUGAACUGGGCAUAGGGGCGAAAGACUAAUCGAAUCAUCUGUUAGCUGGUUUCGCCGGAAGUUUCCCUCAGGAUAGCUGGCGCGUGGAAACAAGGUGUUUCAUCCGGUAAAGCGAAUGAUUAGCGGUCUUGGGAUCGAAAAGAUCUCAACCGAUUCUCAAACUUUAAAUGGGUGAGAACUCAGACUUGCACGAACGAGAUUUCUCGGGGAAGUUCGAGAAGCGCAAUCCGGCGAUAUGUCGAAACGCGCAACGAAACCGAUACGUGCCAAGUGGGCCAUUUUUGGUAAGCAGAACUGGCGCUGUGGGAUGAACCAAACGUCGAGUUAAGGCGUCCAAAUCGACGCUCACGAGAUACCAUGAAAGGCGUUGGCUUCUAUAGACAGCAGGACAGUGGCCAUGGAAGUCGGAAUCUGCUAAGGAGUGUGUAACAACUCACCUGCCGAAGGAGCUAGCCCUGAAAAUGGAUGACGCUGAAGCGUCGUGCCUAUACUCGGCCGUCAGAAGGCAAAAGGGAAAAGUCGCGGGCGAACCUCGGAUCGCUCGCAACUCGUCGCCGCGUUCUCGUCCGGACGGUCGAGAGAUGUUCGGCGAACGCGUUCGCGCUCGAGUCUUUUCCCGUCAAGCCCUGACGAGUACGGCGUACGAGGCGGUGAGCGCAGAAGGGCCUCGCCGCGAGGCGACCUGGAGCCGCCGUCUGUGCAGAUCUUGGUGGUAGUAGCAAUGACUCGAUAGAGGACCUUGAGGACUGAUGUGGAGAAGGGCUUCGUGUGAACAGCAGUUGGACACGAGUCAGUCGAUCCUAAGCACUAGGGGAAACCCGAUGCCGAUGAGAGAGAUUACGUUAAAAUUUCUCUCCACGUGCGAAAGGGAAUCCGGUUCACAUUCCGGAACCUGGCACCGGAACCGUACCAAUUUGUGGUCGGAUCCCGAUUCCGCUCGGUCGCGAGACUCUAUACGAGUUCUCGUCCGAGUCAGGAACGGAAUUCGUCGGGGUAACCCAACAAAACCCG
rnacentral:rRNA from 1 species